UACGAAGGGUGCAAGCGUUACUCGGAAUUACUGGGCGUAAAGCGUGCGUAGGUGGUCUGUUAAGUCUGAUGUGAAAGCCCCGGGCUCAACCUGGGAAUGGCAUUGGAUACUGGCAGUCUAGAGUGCGGUAGAGGGGUGUGGAAUUCUCGGUGUAGCAGUGAAAUGCGUAGAUAUCGAGAGGAACACCAGAGGCGAAGGCGAAUCACUGGACAGAAUCUGACGCUGAGGCACGAAAGCUAGGGGAGCAAACGGG
rnacentral:rRNA from 1 species